GACGGAGGGCGCUAGCGUUGUUCGGAAUCACUGGGCGUAAAGGGCGCGCAGGCGGCCCGGCCAGUCGGGUGUGAAAGCCCGGGGCUCAACCCCGGAACGGCACCCGAUACUGCCGGGCUCGAGGCCGGGAGAGGGUGGUGGAAUACCCAGUGUAGAGGUGAAAUUCGUAGAUAUUGGGUGGAACACCGGUGGCGAAGGCGGCCACCUGGCCCGGUCCUGACGCUGAGGCGCGAAAGCGUGGGGAGCAAACAGG
rnacentral:rRNA from 1 species